AGCAGCCGCGGUAAUUCCAGCUCCAAUAGCGUAUAUUAAAGUUGUUGCAGUUAAAAAGCUCGUAGUUGAAUUUCGGGGUUAGUAGGCUGGUCGUGCCACAGGUAUGCACUGGUCUUACUGAUUCCUCCUUCCUGAUGAACCGUAAUGCCAUUAAUUUGGUGUUGCGGGGAGUCUGGACUGUUACUUUGAAAAAAUUAGAGUGUUUAAAGCAGGCUAACGCUUGAAUACAUUAGCAUGGAAUAACGAAAUAGGACGUUCGAUCCUAUUUUGUUGGUUUCUAGGAUUGACGUAAUGAUUAAUAGGGAUAGUUGGGGGUAUUAGUAUUCAAUUGUCAGAGGUGAAAUUCUUGGAUUUAUUGAAGACUAACUACUGCGAAAGCAUUUGCCAAGGAUGUUUUCAUUAAUCAAGAACGAAAGUUAGGGGAUCGAAGACGAUCAGAUACCGUCGUAGUCUUAACCAUAAACUAUGCCGACUAGGGAUCGGAUGAUGUUAAUUUUUAAUGACUCAUUCGGCGCCUUAC
rnacentral:rRNA from 1 species